UGUGCACAUAAUGAUGAAAGACAUGGAUUAAUCGCGUCAGGCAUGGCGCCCGAAACACAUGAGGAAAUUUCCCAUGCUGCCUUCCUUCUGACAGCACA
ensembl:snoRNA SNORD83A small nucleolar RNA U83B